rnacentral:rRNA from 1 species
GACGUAGGGCGCGAGCGUUGUCCGGAAUCAUUGGGCGUAAAGAGCGUGUAGGCGGCCCGAUAAGUCCGCUGUGAAAGUCCAGGGCUCAACCCUGGGAUGCCGGUGGAUACUGUCGGGCUCGAGUCCGGAAGAGGAGUGUGGAAUUCCUGGUGUAGCGGUGAAAUGCGCAGGUAUCAGGAGGAACACCAAUAGCGAAGGCAGCUCGCUGGGACGGUACUGACGCUAAGGCGCGAAAGCGUGGGGAGCGAACAGG